AGUGAUUCCUACGGGAGGCAGCAGUGGGGAAUAUUGGACAAUGGGCGAAAGCCUGAUCCAGCAAUGCCGCGUGAGUGAUGAAGGCCUUAGGGUUGUAAAGCUCUUUUACCCGGGAUGAUAAUGACAGUACCGGGAGAAUAAGCUCCGGCUANCUAAAAGGCCAGCAGCCGCGGUAAU
rnacentral:rRNA from 1 species